rnacentral:rRNA from 1 species
UAAGCGACUAAGCGUACACGGUGGAUGCCCUGGCAGUCAGAGGCGAUGAAGGACGUGCUAAUCUGCGAUAAGCGUCGGUAAGGUGAUAUGAACCGUUAUAACCGGCGAUUUCCGAAUGGGGAAACCCAGUGUGUUUCGACACACUAUCAUUAACUGAAUCCAUAGGUUAAUGAGGCGAACCGGGGGAACUGAAACAUCUAAGUACCCCGAGGAAAAGAAAUCAACCGAGAUUCCCCCAGUAGCGGCGAGCGAACGGGGAGGAGCCCAGAGCCUGAAUCAGUGUGUGUGUUAGUGGAAGCGUCUGGAAAGGCGCGCGAUACAGGGUGACAGCCCCGUACACAAAAAUGCACAUGCUGUGAGCUCGAUGAGUAGGGCGGGACACGUGGUAUCCUGUCUGAAUAUGGGGGGACCAUCCUCCAAGGCUAAAUACUCCUGACUGACCGAUAGUGAACCAGUACCGUGAGGGAAAGGCGAAAAGAACCCCGGCGAGGGGAGUGAAAAAGAACCUGAAACCGUGUACGUACAAGCAGUGGGAGCACAGAGCAAUCUGUGUGACUGCGUACCUUUUGUAUAAUGGGUCAGCGACUUAUAUUCUGUAGCAAGGUUAACCGAAUAGGGGAGCCGAAGGGAAACCGAGUCUUAACUGGGCGUUAAGUUGCAGGGUAUAGACCCGAAACCCGGUGAUCUAGCCAUGGGCAGGUUGAAGGUUGGGUAACACUAACUGGAGGACCGAACCGACUAAUGUUGAAAAAUUAGCGGAUGACUUGUGGCUGGGGGUGGAAAGGCCAAUCAAACCGGGAGAUAGCUGGUUCUCCCCGAAAGCUAUUUAGGUAGCGCCUCGUGAAUUCAUCUCCGGGGGUAGAGCACUGUUUCGGCAAGGGGGUCAUCCCGACUUACCAACCCGAUGCAAACUGCGAAUACCGGAGAAUGUUAUCACGGGAGACACACGGCGGGUGCUAACGUCCGUCGUGAAGAGGGAAACAACCCAGACCGCCAGCUAAGGUCCCAAAGUCAUGGUUAAGUGGGAAACGAUGUGGGAAGGCCCAGACAGCCAGGAUGUUGGCUUAGAAGCAGCCAUCAUUUAAAGAAAGCGUAAUAGCUCACUGGUCGAGUCGGCCUGCGCGGAAGAUGUAACGGGGCUAAACCAUGCACCGAAGCUGCGGCAGCGACACUGUGUGUUGUUGGGUAGGGGAGCGUUCUGUAAGCCUGUGAAGGUGUGCUGUGAGGCAUGCUGGAGGUAUCAGAAGUGCGAAUGCUGACAUAAGUAACGAUAAAGCGGGUGAAAAGCCCGCUCGCCGGAAGACCAAGGGUUCCUGUCCAACGUUAAUCGGGGCAGGGUGAGUCGACCCCUAAGGCGAGGCCGAAAGGCGUAGUCGAUGGGAAACAGGUUAAUAUUCCUGUACUUGGUGUUACUGCGAAGGGGGACGGAGAAGGCUAUGUUGGCCGGGCGACGGUUGUCCCGGUUUAAGCGUGUAGGCUGGUUUUCCAGGCAAAUCCGGAAAAUCAAGGCUGAGGCGUGAUGACGAGGCACUACGGUGCUGAAGCAACAAAUGCCCUGCUUCCAGGAAAAGCCUCUAAGCAUCAGGUAACAUCAAAUCGUACCCAAACCGACACAGGUGGUCAGGUAGAGAAUACCAAGGCGCUUGAGAGAACUCGGGUGAAGGAACUAGGCAAAAUGGUGCCGUAACUUCGGGAGAAGGCACGCUGAUAUGUAGGUGAAGUCCCUCGCGGAUGGAGCUGAAAUCAGUCGAAGAUACCAGCUGGCUGCAACUGUUUAUUAAAAACACAGCACUGUGCAAACACGAAAGUGGACGUAUACGGUGUGACGCCUGCCCGGUGCCGGAAGGUUAAUUGAUGGGGUCAGCGCAAGCGAAGCUCUUGAUCGAAGCCCCGGUAAACGGCGGCCGUAACUAUAACGGUCCUAAGGUAGCGAAAUUCCUUGUCGGGUAAGUUCCGACCUGCACGAAUGGCGUAAUGAUGGCCAGGCUGUCUCCACCCGAGACUCAGUGAAAUUGAACUCGCUGUGAAGAUGCAGUGUACCCGCGGCAAGACGGAAAGACCCCGUGAACCUUUACUAUAGCUUGACACUGAACAUUGAGCCUUGAUGUGUAGGAUAGGUGGGAGGCUUUGAAGUGUGGACGCCAGUCUGCAUGGAGCCGACCUUGAAAUACCACCCUUUAAUGUUUGAUGUUCUAACGUGGACCCGUGAUCCGGGUUGCGGACAGUGUCUGGUGGGUAGUUUGACUGGGGCGGUCUCCUCCUAAAGAGUAACGGAGGAGCACGAAGGUUGGCUAAUCCUGGUCGGACAUCAGGAGGUUAGUGCAAUGGCAUAAGCCAGCUUGACUGCGAGCGUGACGGCGCGAGCAGGUGCGAAAGCAGGUCAUAGUGAUCCGGUGGUUCUGAAUGGAAGGGCCAUCGCUCAACGGAUAAAAGGUACUCCGGGGAUAACAGGCUGAUACCGCCCAAGAGUUCAUAUCGACGGCGGUGUUUGGCACCUCGAUGUCGGCUCAUCACAUCCUGGGGCUGAAGUAGGUCCCAAGGGUAUGGCUGUUCGCCAUUUAAAGUGGUACGCGAGCUGGGUUUAGAACGUCGUGAGACAGUUCGGUCCCUAUCUGCCGUGGGCGCUGGAGAACUGAGGGGGGCUGCUCCUAGUACGAGAGGACCGGAGUGGACGCAUCACUGGUGUUCGGGUUGUCAUGCCAAUGGCACUGCCCGGUAGCUAAAUGCGGAAGAGAUAAGUGCUGAAAGCAUCUAAGCACGAAACUUGCCCCGAGAUGAGUUCUCCCUGACCCUUUAAGGGUCCUGAAGGAACGUUGAAGACGACGACGUUGAUAGGCCGGGUGUGUAAGCGCAGCGAUGCGUUGAGCUAACCGGUACUAAUGAACCGUGAGGCUUAACCU